rnacentral:rRNA from 1 species
CCUACGGGAGGCAGCAGUGGGGAAUUUUGGACAAUGGGCGCAAGCCUGAUCCAGCAAUGCCGCGUGCAGGAUGAAGGCCUUCGGGUUGUAAACUGCUUUUGUACGGAACGAAACGGCGAGCUCUAAUAAAGUUCGCUAAUGACGGUACCGUAAGAAUAAGCACCGGCUAACUACGUGCCAGCAGCCGCGGUAAUACGUAGGGUGCAAGCGUUAAUCGGAAUUACUGGGCGUAAAGCGUGCGCAGGCGGUGAUGUAAGACAGAUGUGAAAUCCCCGGGCUCAACCUGGGACCUGCAUUUGUGACUGCAUCGCUAGAGUACGGUAGAGGGGGAUGGAAUUCCGCGUGUAGCAGUGAAAUGCGUAGAUAUGCGGAGGAACACCGAUGGCGAAGGCAAUCCCCUGGACCUGUACUGACGCUCAUGCACGAAAGCGUGGGGAGCAAACAGGAUUAGAUACCCUGGUAGUCCACGCCCUAAACGAUGUCAACUGGUUGUUGGGUCUUCACUGACUCAGUAACGAAGCUAACGCGUGAAGUUGACCGCCUGGGGAGUACGGCCGCAAGGUUGAAAACUCAAAAUAGAGUUAGAGGCGUGAGACGAGCGACGGACGACGACGAGGGGAGGUAGG